rnacentral:lncRNA from 1 species
GAUGUCUAAAUUUUUUUUUGCUCUUCUUCAGGACAUCAGCAAAAGAACAUGAAUUACACAGAAAGAGCCAACUAAGAAGGCAACGCUAGCAUCGACCCUAGGAAGAAAACAUGUUGCAAAUGCCAAAGCCUCGGACUAUCUGCAAACGACUACAGGUUUUCCUGUGAGCCGAACCCCUAGCAGACAGCAUGUGGGAGCACCAAGUUCUGCAGUUAGUUACUUGUCUCUCCCCACUUAAAAGCAACUCGGUGCCAUUUACCAACUCAGAGUAUGCAGAGGUCCAGUCCAGCCUAGGAAGGACCCCUCAGUGCCAGGAGGCCAGGAGCCCCAGAGGUAUAGCAAGACCUGGGCCCAUGUAUGUGUCUGUGUCGAUGGUUUGUGGAGAAAUGUAACACUGGAUCAGAGCUGAGCUGAAUAAUAAGAAACACCUUCUCUAUAGUAUUGGUCCCCCCACACUGAUAAGUCCAUCUAUAAGAACUUCCUCCACAAUAUAUCAACCAACAUUGAGGACGGAGAGGCAGGUUUGGGUGUGAAACACAGGUUUUAUUGAGCAUCCUUUCUGUGUUAGAGCAUCUUCUCUGUGUUCCUUAAAUUACUUUUCACAAACUUGUGAGGGUCCUACUAUUACAUAUUUCUUUCUUUUUCCUUUCUUUCUUUUCUUUUUUUGUUUUAACAAAUGAGGAAACAGGCUCAGAGAUUAUCUAAUUUGCCAAGUUUACCUAGCAAUAUAUUUAUUACUCCCCACCACUACUACACAGAUUGUCUUCAGUUAUUUUUAUAUUUUAAAAAAGGUGGAUAGUAAUAUUAUUCCCAUUUUCCAUAUGAGAUAACUGCCCAGAGAGGCUAAGUAACUUGCCCAGAGUCACACAGAUAGUAUUUGAGGAAGAAUUUGAGCUCUUGUGCAUUGUAUAUCAUUGCUUCUUACUAAUAUAUUAUAAUGCAUGAGGAAUUUCAAACACACAGCACACAUACACACAGCAUUCACCGAGAACCCCAAUUUGAUUCAUUUUGAGAAGAGCAUUAGACUCAGAGACAGAACUCAGCUAUAAUCUUUUCUUUUUACCCAAGCUGAUUACAUACUUUGGUCAUAAUAAUUUAAUAUCUCUGAUCUUAUUUUUGCAUUUGCAAAAUGGAGGUUGCCAUGAGGCUUAAGAUGAGAUUAUGCCUGUGAAAGGGCUAUCUUAGUUGUCCAGAGGGCUACCUGCUACUCAAACCCAGGAGGCAAAUGCGUGCACUCUCUCUCUAAGACACCAUUCCUCUGGCACAUUUUGGGGACGGAUGACUUGAGCUCUCACUGUAAGUCAUGUCCCAUUUUCGCUCCAAUCUCAUUCCACUCGGGAAUGUCGGUCUUGCCAAGCCUGGCGUUAUCAGGAGACUGUGGUCAAGAACACAGGUACAAGUAUAUCAGAUGAGAACAUAUGUUUGAACUCAGGCACAGUUUUCACAAAAUGUUGCUUUCUGUUGCAGGCAGGGUAAGAGAAAUCGCCUUUAAAAUUCCCAUUAAAAAAGACUCUCAGGCUCCUCAGACAUCAAAUAACUCUCACAAGACAACAUUUUAAUGAUUUAAGUGUAAAUGAAUCAGAAACACAUGGACUGCAUUUCUUUUGGAAUACACAAAGGUUUUAAAACCAAAGGAGAAAGAACUUGGCAAAAUGCACACAGUGCUGCGCAGAGGGCCCUGCCCAGGAAAGACUCCCUGGAUUCAUGCUGCCUCUGAGCUCGCCCUCCCCGAUUUUAGGGGACACACUGGGAAAUACAAUCAUCUGUUCUGGUUCUGGGCACAGAGGGAAGAGCUUGGAAGAGAAAGUCACCGUUCCCUCUUGUUCUCAAGUGUCAUAGAACAAUUAGGCCUCCCAGAAUAAUUUCCUGGCAGUGUUUUUCCAAGGCUGCCAGUGUUCAAUGGCAGGCAUUUGAAAUAUGUUUGAAGCCAAAGUUCUGCCAAUAUACAGCAGAUCUGAUAUGUGUGCUUCCCUGGGAUUUAGCCAAGACUCAGAGGAAAUCUGCAUGAGAACUGUAACUGGCUCAGUGAGGGAUCUCGGGAGAACCAGCGCAGAUCCACAUUGAGUCAGACGGCAUUUGCGACAGUGUCCGGUGCUUUUGAUGUGAACUCCUGGAUGUCAUUAUCAGAUUGUGGGUGGGGCAGGGGAGGUAUGUAAGGGACCGGGACUAGGAGAAGUGGACUCAGUGUCUGUGAGCUGUGUGUGACCUUAGGAGAGUCAUUUUCUUUCUUGGGGGAGGACAUCAGUUUGCUCAGCCAUCAAAUCCAUGCAUUGGACUCGGCUGAACUUACGGAGCACACUAAUGUGAACUUGAAGGUCGUGCAAGUGUGAAGGAGGCUCAGUGGAUCGUGAGACCACUGAAGAGUCAAGGUAACUUGAGUACCUUGUAUCUUGAGUACUCAAGGUAUCUAGAGUAGUCUUCGUCAUCUUGGCACUUGCUUUUUCUGUGGUCACCAUUCGUUACUCAGAAUUCCUUCAUAGAUAUUCGGGGGAGGGGGGAGAAAUAGCCCUUAAAGGGUUUCAAUGAGUUUUUUUUUUUUUUAAGUUUGAUAAAAAUGGUUUAAAAAUGAAUAUGAGGAACUAAUAGUUUAUUUAGAAUCAUACAAGUGUAUGGUGUUGGAGGUGGCCUGGCUGCUCUUGGGUUACGGUCAGAGGGGGGUUUCAGAGAGCUUACCCCUGUGGAAUACUGCUGCAGCAUUCCCACCACUGGAGGAUUUUGGUUUACAUGUUCUACCAAAGUAUUUAUUUUGUGUAACUCCUGAGUGCAAGUUUCUGGAAUUCCAUGAAUGUGUCCGACAAUGCAAAGAAUUUGGGUGAUAGGUUUUUUGGAAAAGCCCGAGAUCCAGGGCUCCCUAUAGAACAAGCUAAGUAACUGAUAAAUAGAUCCAAAGACCGUAGCUAGAGUUAAACUUUGGGUGGUUCAACAUAUUGACUAACUGUGUUGAAAGUAAUUUAAAAAAUGCCAAUCCUGGAGCUACGUCCCAGGAGAUUUAAAUUCAAUGAAUCUUUGUAGGGCAUCUGAAUCUGCAAUUUUAGAAUCUCCCCUGGUGUGAUUUUGCCAUUUUUGGUAAUGUAACAUAAUGGUACAUCUUAUAAUUGAUGGUGUCUUAGAUUUGAUGAGAUAAUACCUAGUAAUACCACACUCUUUCAUGUAUGUUUUUGCAUGUAAUAGUCACAUCUUUUUACAGAUGAAGACCACAUUGUUCAGAGAAAAUGAGUGUGUCUGUAAAGGAAUGAUCAUUGUCUAGAGUUCAGGCUCCUGAUCCCAAAUCCAAGGUUUUUUCCCCUCAUCUGCAGACUUCUGGUACUUCCUGUGGAAUUUAAAUAUUCAUGAGUCAUGCUGUCAUGGGAUUACACAAUUUUUCAGAGAAGGAAAAAAAAAUAGCUUACAUUUAAAAGAUGAACUCUUAGGCUCUGAUAGGGGCUAAUUAAGCCCCCCUUGAACUCAUAUGUUGACAUCGCAACCCCAGUACCUCGG